CCUACGGGUGGCAGCAGUGAGGAAUAUUGGUCAAUGGGCGUAAGCCUGAACCAGCCAAGUCGCGUGAGGGAUGAAGGUUCUAUGGAUCGUAAACCUCUUUUAUAAGGGAAUAAAGUGUGGGACGUGUCCUGUUUUGUAUGUACCUUAUGAAUAAGGAUCGGCUAACUCCGUGCCAGCAGCCGCGGUAAUACGGAGGAUCCGAGCGUUAUCCGGAUUUAUUGGGUUUAAAGGGUGCGUAGGCGGCCUUUUAAGUCAGCGGUGAAAGUCUGUGGCUCAACCCCGUCGUGCCGUUGAAACUGGCGUUCUUGAGUGAGCGAGAAGUAUGCGGAAUGCGUGGUGUAGCGGUGAAAUGCAUAGAUAUCACGCAGAACUCCGAUUGCGAAGGCAGCAUACCGGCGCUCAACUGACGCUCAUGCACGAAAGCGUGGGUAUCGAACAGGAUUAGAUACCGUGUAGUC
rnacentral:rRNA from 1 species